rnacentral:rRNA from 1 species
GACGUAGGGGGCCAGCGUUGCUCGGAAUUACUGGGCGUAAAGGGUUCGUAGGCGGUGUGGCAAGUCGGGAGUGAAAUCUCUGGGCUUAACUCAGAGGCUGCUUCCGAAACUGCCGUGCUAGAGUGCGGGAGAGGCGAGUGGAAUUGCAGGUGUAGCGGUGAAAUGCGUAGAUAUCUGCAGGAACACCCGUGGCGAAGGCGGCUCGCUGGACCGCAACUGACGCUGAGGAACGAAAGCUAGGGGAGCGAACGGG